GUAAUUCCGGUGAAGAUGCCGGAUACCUGCGACAGGACGGAAAGACCCCAUGGAGCUUUACUGUAGCUUGACAUUGGGUCUUGGUACUACAUGUACAGGAUAGGUGGGAGGCUUUGAAACCAGGACGCCAGUUUUGGCGGAGCCAUCCUUGGGAUACCACCCUUGUAGUACUGGGACUCUAACCAUAGGCCAUGCAUCUGGUCUUGGGACACUGUCAGGUGGGCAGUUUGACUGGGGCGGUCGCCUCCCAAAAGGUAACGGAGGCGCUCAAAGGUUCUCUCAGUACGGUCGGAAAUCGUACGUAGAGUGUAAAGGCAAAAGAG
rnacentral:rRNA from 1 species